rnacentral:rRNA from 1 species
UACGUAGGGUGCAAGCGUUAAUCGGAAUUACUGGGCGUAAAGCGUGCGCAGGCGGUGAUGUAAGCCAGGUGUGAAAUCCCCGGGCUUAACCUGGGAACUGCAUUUGUGACUGCAUCGCUGGAGUGCGGCAGAGGGGGAUGGAAUUCCGCGUGUAGCAGUGAAAUGCGUAGAUAUGCGGAGGAACACCGAUGGCGAAGGCAAUCCCCUGGGCCUGCACUGACGCUCAUGCACGAAAGCGUGGGGAGCAAACAGG